rnacentral:siRNA from 1 species
GUCCCUGAAACUAAGCGCCCAUGC